rnacentral:rRNA from 1 species
UUGCACACGUGUGGUGCGCGGCUGUCGUCCGCUCGUGUCGUGAGAUGUUGGGUUAACUCCCGCAACGAGCGCAACCCUCGUCCUUAUUUGCUAACAGUUUGGCUGACCACUCUAGGGAGACUGCCUACACAAGUAAGAAGAAGGUGAGGACGACCUCAAGUCAUCGUGGCCCUUACGGCCAGGGCUACACACGUGCUACAGUGGGGCAUACAGAGUGUUGCAAUACCGCGAGGUGGAGCCAAUCACUAAAAUGCCUCUCAUUUCGGAUUGUUCUCUGCAACUCGAGAGCAUGAAGCUGGAAUCACUAGUAAUCGUGGAUCAAAAUUGCCACGG